GAUCCUGGCUCAGGAUGAACGCUAGCUACAGGCUUAACACAUGCAAGUCGAGGGGGCGAGCAUGGUCUUAGCUUGCUAAGGCCGAUGGCGACCGGCGCACGGGUGAGUAACACGUAUCCAACCUGCCGUCUACUCUUGGGCAGCCUUCUGAAAGGAAGAUUAAUACAAGAUGGCAUCAUGAGUUCGCAUGUUCACAUGAUUAAAGGUAUUCCGGUAGACGAUGGGG
rnacentral:rRNA from 1 species